GGGUGAGUAACACGUGAGCAACCUGCCUAUCAGAGGGGGAUAACGAUUGGAAACGAUCGCUAAUACCGCAUGACAUAGCGGAAUCGCAUGGUUCUGUUAUCAAAGAUUUUAUCGCUGAUAGAUGGGCUCGCGUCCGAUUAGAUAGUUGGUGGGGUAACGGCCUACCAAGUCGACGAUCGGUAGCCGGACUGAGAGGUCGAACGGCCACAUUGGGACUGAGACACGGCCCAGACUCCUACGGGAGGCAGCAGUGGGGGAUAUUGCACAAUGGGGGAAACCCUGAUGCAGCGACGCCGCGUGAGGGAAGACGGUCCUCUGGAUUGUAAACCUCUGUCUUCGGGGACGAAACGAGACGGUACCCGAGGAGGAAGCCACGGCUAACUACGUGCCAGCAGCCGCGGUAAUACGUAGGUGGCAAGCGUUGUCCGGAAUUACUGGGUGUAAAGGGAGCGUAGGCGGGCAGGCAAGUCAGGCGUGAAAUAUAUCGGCUCAACCGGUAACGGCGCUUGAAACUGCAGGUCUUGAGUGAAGUAGAGGUUGGCGGAAUUCCUAGUGUAGCGGUGAAAUGCGUAGAUAUUAGGAGGAACACCAGUGGCGAAGGCGGCCAACUGGGCUUUUACUGACGCUGAGGCUCGAAAGUGUGGGGAGCAAACAGGAUUAGAUACCCUGGUAGUCCACACCGUAAACGAUGAUUACUAGGUGUGGGGGGACU
rnacentral:rRNA from 1 species